CCUACGGGAGGCAGCAGUGAGGAAUAUUGGUCAAUGGGCGGGAGGCUGAACCAGCCAAGCCGCGUGAGGGAAGAAGGUACUGCGUAUUGUAAACCUCUUUUGUCAGGGAACAAAGGCGGGGACUAGUCCCCGCAUGAGGGUACCCGAAGAAAAAGCAUCGGCUAACUCCGUGCCAGCAGCCGCGGUAAUACGGAGGAUGCGAGCGUUAUCCGGAUUUAUUGGGUUUAAAGGGAGCGUAGAUGGGUUGUUAAGUCAGUUGUGAAAGUUUGGGGCUCAACCGUAAAAUUGCAGUUGAUACUGGGAGUCUUGAGUACAGUUGAGGUAGGCGGAAUUCGUGGUGUAGCGGUGAAAUGCUUAGAUAUCACGAAGAACUCCGAUUGCGAAGGCAGCUUACUAAACUGCCACUGACAUUGAUGCUCGAAAGUGUGGGUAUCAAACAGGAUUAGAUACCCUUGUAGUC
rnacentral:rRNA from 1 species